AAAUAUUAUCACAACGUAACUUUGGUCCAUGUGCAAAAGUGGUGGUUUUAAGGAAUCAAAGACACAUGGAUUGCUUGAGCAUCAAGUCUGUUACAUUGAUGACAGUCCUUUUUGUGCUUAUCUGUAGAUAUAUCUGAAUAUGCCCAUAUUUUGCAGGAGACAGAUCAUCUUACUGAGGAUCAUGGAGUCCAGUGCUACAACUUACUGAAGAUUACCAUAUUCUGUGCAAUUUGGUCACUGAGCAAGACACAUAAUUGCAACCACAAUCCGUGUCCAAAAUGGUCUGCAUAAACAGAUAUGCCGAGCACUUGCUUAUAUACAUAAUUAAUUAUAUUGUCAUCUGCCACCAUGAUAUCAAACCACAGAACAUUCUUGUUAACCUACAUAACAUGAGCUCAAAAUCUGAAUCUGUGAUUUUGGCAGUGCAAAAGUCUUGGUAAGUUAUCUUCUAUAAUAAGGUAGAAAUUUAAAUGCUUGAGUACUGCUGGUUUUGAAAAGAACAUGCUAAACUUUCUUGAUAAGAACAAAAAAAAGGGUGUGCACUUAUGCUAGUAACCUACCCAGAAUGAUGAUUUCUAAAUUGUUUUCAAAGUAAUGCUUUGCAUAUAUCUCCUACAUUUACUCAAGAUAUUACCGAGCAGCAGAACUAUAUUUGGUGCAACUGAAUGUACUACUGCCAUUAUUUUGUUGUGGUUUUGUUCACUGCAGACUGAAUAUCUGCUCUGUCAUGGCAGAACUGCUUCCCCCAUAGGUUUUUUCAUUCAUGCAUAUAGUCUUUUACUCCCUCCGUCUCCAAAUAAGUGUUGCUGAUUUAGUAAAACAUUAGUACAAAGUUGUACUAAAUCAACGACGCUUAUUUUGGGACGGAGGGAGUAUUUUACUCUCUAGCUUGUUCUCACAGUGUUCAUCCAUCCAUGCAGCCUCUUUUUCCUGGGGGAAAGUGGAGUUGAUCAACCGGUUGUGAUUACCAAGUGCGUCGCAGGUCUUGGGGUACUCCAACCAGGGAAGAGAUCAAGAGCAUGAAUCCAAACUACACGUUGUUCAAGUUCCCGCAAAUUAAGGCUCAUCCAUGGCACAAGGAGACCGAGCCAGAUGUGGUUGCAGAUUCGGGUGCUGAAGAUGGUCACAUAUUUGCAAGCACAAUCCGUGGCCAAAAUGGUCUGCCUAAACAGAAAAGAGGGGUGCAGGUGCCAAACAUGCCGCGUCAGGUGUCUAGGAAGCUUAACCAAGUCCAGUGAGAGCUGAAUAUCUCCUACAUUUGCACAAGAUAUUACAGAGCACCAGAACUGAUAUUAGGUUCCCGCAAAAAAAAAAAGAACUGAUAUUAGGUGCAACUGAAUAUACUGCUGACAUGGAUUUGUUCUUUUUUUUUUACGGCAGACUGAAUAUCUGCUAUGUCACAGCAGAACUGCUUCUCGGGCAGGUUUUAUUCAUGCAUAUAGUCUUUCAUUUUCUUUCUAGCUUGUUCUCAAAAUAUUUAUCCAUUCACACAUCCUCUUUUUUCCUAGGGAAAGUGGAGUUGAUCAGUUGGUUGAGCUUAUCAAGUGCGUCGCAGGUCUUGGGAUACUCCAACAAGGGAAGAGAUCAAGUGCAUAAACCCAAACUACACGAAGUUCGAGUUCUCCUGAAUUAAGACUCGUCCGUGGCACAAGAUGUGGUUGCAGAUCCUGGUGCUGAAGCUGGUCACAUAACUGCUACCACAAUCUGUCGCCGAAAUGGUCUGCCCAAACAGGUAGACUUCUGAGUUCUGACAUUUGCGUUGUCUGAACUGGUCUAUGCUCAACUGAUUGUCGAAGGCAUAUAACCUGUUAUUGUCAACUCUUCAGGCCAAAUGUCGAGAAACGGGUUCCCAUAAAAAAAGGUUCUCCAAAACAAGCGAUACAAAAACAGGGAAUUGCAAAUUAGGCAUAUGCUUGAUCAUCCUAACAUUGUUGGUCUUAAGCAUUACUUCUUUUUAACCACCGAAAGGGAUGAGCUUUAUCACAUUCUUGUCCUUGAGUUUGUUCCAGAGACAGUAAACCGGAUGCUAGAUUGUACAACAGAAUGAAUCACUCAAAGAGUGCCCCUAAUUUAUGUCAAACUAUACACUUAUUAUGUCUGACAUGACUUGGCAGUUACUUUUUUGAACGAUGUUAUGCUUUGCACAAUUGUCCUCCAUCUUUAAUGUUCUACAAAAACUUUUUAAUAAUCUUUGCACUAGGCAUACUUGUUACCAAAAUUAUCUACAUGCUGUCAUGUGGAGCUCGUGGUACAUAAUUUUCUUGGUUACCAAAUACCGAGUACAUUCGUAUAUGAUAUGUUCCCUGCUUAGUUGCAUCACUUUUUUGUCCCCAUUCCUGCUCUACUCUAAACUUAUGUUCCAAUAGUUGAAUACUGUAUUGGGACCUAUCUACAAGUCUCAGGUUAGUUAUUCACAUUGAUGGUUUCACUAACAAUCUAAAAUAAAUUCUGAGAAAUUCAAACAUACAACUGAUCCAGCCUGUCCGUUCUACUGUGUUUGGAUAUAUGUUCUAGUGCUCCCUCCGAUCCAAAUUAAUUGAAGCAGCUUUAGUAAAGUUGUACUAAGGCUGCGUUAAUUAAUUUGCAUCGGAGGGAGUAUAACUUUCUUCUUGUAUGUUUAGUUAAUCAUAAGGUCCCAUUUUCUUACUACCUCCGUCCCUAAAUAUAUGGCAUAUAAAUUCUGUCAAAAAGUCAAUGCUUUCUAAGUUUGACCAAGUAUAUAUACAAAAAUAUGACGAUAAACAAUACCAAAUCAAAAUCAACAUAUCCACCAUUAGAUACAUUUUCAUAUAAUCUACUUAUUCAAAUUGUGAUAGUUGACAUUUUCUUCUAUAUAUUUGGUCAACUUAGAAAGAAUUGACUUUUGGACUGAAUUUAUACGUAUCAUUUGGGGACAGAGGGAGUAGUACAUAUUCACACAGGUAAGUCCUUUUUUUCCUGAGAUAAGUAUUUGCACAUUUUUGUGGUAGUGCAGACACGAUAGACCAUCUACUGUAUGCUUCAGCUAAUUCUUAAUUCUGCUGAUUUUGUUCUUACUACAGAUAAAAUUUAGUUAAUGAGUUGUGCCAUACAUCUGUAAUCUGUUUGGUCUUUGUAGUUGUUUAAGUCAGAAAUAUAAGGUCCCGGCCAUGCAACAGAAAUUUUCCUUCAGUUAUUUUUUGAUAUGAUUGUUAUAAUCAUCGUCUAAUCAUUGUUCCUGUAAUCUCAUAACUUUGCGGAUAUGCCAAGCAUUUGCUUAUAUACAUAAUUGUGUUGGCAUUUUCUUAUACGCAGCCUCCUUUUCCUGGGUAAAGCGGAGUUGAUCAACCGGUUGUGAUUAUCAAGGUCUUGGGAUACUCCAACAAGACAAGAGAUCAAGUGCAUGAGUCCAAACUACACAGAGUUCAAGUUCCCGUGAAUUAAGGCUCAUCCAUGGCACAAGGUAAUAUGCAUAUAUUAUGAGUUUUUUUUAGUAUGUCCAAAAAUGCUGCACGGGCAUGUUGUUUAAUCUAGCAUGAACUAAUAUGAGUGCUGAAAAAACAAUUUAGAGUUUCUCAGAAAUUCCCGCCAAGAAAUUCCUCAGAUAUUUAACAAAAAAGGAAAAUUAAUUGCAGCGAACAAAAAUGAAAAGCUGAUGCAACCUAAAAGAAAAGAAAAGGCCACAUGAGACAGAUGUUUCUCAGAUGGGCCGGGUUCUUUGUGUCCAGCAAGCAGCAGCCAAACCUCACGGGCCAGCACCCACGAGGGUAGCUCCUAUACGGCGCUGCAGGCGCCCGUUCGCGCUCCUGGCGCCUGCAGCGCCCCGUGUUGGCCGGCCCACGAAACAUGCAGACCAGCGAACGCAAAAAAACUUAACAAAAAAACGCAAGAAAAAUUGCUCUCUACCGGUUUCGCACUCACCAUCUCCAGUUCAGGUACAGGUGCCACAAGCCACACGAGCUAAACGCCGUAUGUGAUUAGUAACAGAGGCAGAUACUUAAUAUAAGGACGCAGCGCUAUGUUAUUGCACAGAACAAUUCAUCUAAUUGAAAGAAGUUCACUAAUUCGAGAAAAAAGUUCAUAAAUUUGAAAAAGU